GCCUGGGUGGCUCAGUCGGGUGAGCGUCUGACUUCAUCUCACGCCAUGACCUCACAGUUUGUGGGUUCAAGCCCCACAUCGGGCU
rnacentral:tRNA from 1 species